CCCUUAGAUGCUCUGGGCCGCACGCGCGCUACACUGGUCGAUGCAACGAGUUUCUUUCCUUGGCCGACAGGCCUGGGCAAUCUUUGAACAUCGAUCGUGAUCGGGAUAGAUUCUUGUAAUUUUUGAUCUUAAACGAGGAAUUCCUAGUAAACGCAAGUCAUCAGCUUGCAUUGAUUACGUCCCUGCCCUUUGUACACACCGCCCGUCGCACCUACCGAUUGAAUGGUCCGGUGAAAUCUCCGGACUGGCGUGAGUCGGAGCAAUCUGACAAACACCGGAAAGUUGAUUAAACCCUCCCACCUAGAGGAAGGAGAAGUCGUAACA
rnacentral:rRNA from 1 species